rnacentral:rRNA from 1 species
GAUGAACGCUGGCGGCGUGCCUAAUACAUGCAAGUCGAGCGAACAGAUGAGGAGCUUGCUCCUCUGACGUUAGCGGCGGACGGGUGAGUAACACGUGGAUAACCUACCUAUAAGACUGGGAUAACUUCGGGAAACCGGAGCUAAUACCGGAUAAUAUAUUGAACCGCAUGGUUCAAUAGUGAAAGACGGUUUUGCUGUCACUUAUAGAUGGAUCCGCGCCGCAUUAGCUAGUUGGUAAGGUAACGGCUUACCAAGGCAACGAUGCGUAGCCGACCUGAGAGGGUGAUCGGCCACACUGGAACUGAGACACGGUCCAGACUCCUACGGGAGGCAGCAGUAGGGAAUCUUCCGCAAUGGGCGAAAGCCUGACGGAGCAACGCCGCGUGAGUGAUGAAGGUCUUCGGAUCGAAAAACUCUGUUAUUAGGGAAGAACAAAUGUGUAAGUAACUAUGCACGUCUUGACGGUACCUAAUCAGAAAGCCACGGCUAACUACG